AUGAACGCUAGCUACAGGCUUAACACAUGCAAGUCGAGGGGCAGCAUGGUCUUAGCUUGCUAAGGCCGAUGGCGACCGGCGCACGGGUGAGUAACACGUAUCCAACCUGCCGUCUACUCUUGGACAGCCUUCUGAAAGGAAGAUUAAUACAAGAUGGCAUCAUGAGUCCGCAUGUUCACAUGAUUAAAGGUAUUCCGGUAGACGAUGGGGAUGCGUUCCAUUAGAUAGUAGGCGGGGUAACGGCCCACCUAGUCUUCGAUGGAUAGGGGUUCUGAGAGGAAGGUCCCCCACAUUGGAACUGAGACACGGUCCAAACUCCUACGGGAGGCAGCAGUGAGGAAUAUUGGUCAAUGGGCGAGAGCCUGAACCAGCCAAGUAGCGUGAAGGAUGACUGCCCUAUGGGUUGUAAACUUCUUUUAUAAAGGAAUAAAGUCGGGUAUGGAUACCCGUUUGCAUGUACUUUAUGAAUAAGGAUCGGCUAACUCCGUGCCAGCAGCCGCGGUAAUACGGAGGAUCCGAGCGUUAUCCGGAUUUAUUGGGUUUAAAGGGAGCGUAGAUGGAUGUUUAAGUCAGUUGUGAAAGUUUGCGGCUCAACCGUAAAAUUGCAGUUGAUACUGGAUAUCUUGAGUGCAGUUGAGGCAGGCGGAAUUCGUGGUGUAGCGGUGAAAUGCUUAGAUAUCACGAAGAACUCCGAUUGCGAAGGCAGCCUGCUAAGCUGCAACUGACAUUGAGGCUCGAAAGUGUGGGUAUCAAACAGGAUUAGAUACCCUGGUAGUCCACACGGUAAACGAUGAAUACUCGCUGUUUGCGAUAUACUGCAAGCGGCCAAGCGAAAGCGUUAAGUAUUCCACCUGGGGAGUACGCCGGCAACGGUGUAACUCAAAGGAAUUGACGGGGGCCCGCACAAGCGGAGGAACAUGUGGUUUAAUUCGAUGAUACGCGAGGAACCUUACCCGGGCUUAAAUUGCAGAUGAAUUACGGUGAAAGCCGUAAGCCGCAAGGCAUCUGUGAAGGUGCUGCAUGGUUGUCGUCAGCUCGUGCCGUGAGGUGUCGGCUUAAGUGCCAUAACGAGCGCAACCCUUGUUGUCAGUUACUAACAGGUUCCGCUGAGGACUCUGACAAGACUGCCAUCGUAAGAUGUGAGGAAGGUGGGGAUGACGUCAAAUCAGCACGGCCCUUACGUCCGGGGCUACACACGUGUUACAAUGGGGGGUACAGAGGGCCGCUACCACGCGAGUGGAUGCCAAUCCCCAAAACCUCUCUCAGUUCGGACUGGAGUCUGCAACCCGACUCCACGAAGCUGGAUUCGCUAGUAAUCGCGCAUCAGCCACGGCGCGGUGAAUACGUUCCCGGGCCUUGUACACACCGCCCGUCAAGCCAUGGGAGCCGGGGGUACCUGAAGUGCGUAACCGCGAGGAGCGCCCUAGGGUAAAACUGGUGACUGGGGCU
rnacentral:rRNA from 1 species